rnacentral:rRNA from 1 species
CAGCAGCCGCGGUAAUACGUAGGGUGCGAGCGUUAAUCGGAAUUACUGGGCGUAAAGCGUGCGCAGGCGGUUUGUUAAGACGGAUGUGAAAUCCCCGGGCUCAACCUGGGAACUGCAUUCGUGACUGGCAAGCUAGAGUAUGGCAGAGGGGGGUGGAAUUCCACGUGUAGCAGUGAAAUGCGUAGAGAUGUGGAGGAACACCGAUGGCGAAGGCAGCCCCCUGGGCCAAUACUGACGCUCAUGCACGAAAGCGUGGGGAGCAAACAGGAUUAGAUACCCGCGUAGUCCCUGUCUCUUAUAA